GUCUUCAGUGCCUGUGAGACCCCUGGGGAGGCGGCAGCAGCAAGUGACUGGGCCCGGGAGCCUUCACUCGCACGUGGAAGCAUGCAGCCCGCCAUGGCGCCCGAGAGCAGGAAGCGCUUCCGGGAAGCUUCAGCGACCCGAAGCAAACCCUCCCAUCUGGAAGCCUGGAACUUGCGGCACCAAGCCGGCAAUCCAGGAAUUGAUCCCCACGGGAACAGCUCUGCUUCUGCUGGAGCAGCUUGCGCUGGAAGUGGAAGUGGGGGAUGACGCCCAGAAGGUGUCACGAGGACGUACAGCUGACGUUCAGUUGGCCCUUCCGGCAAAGAGAAGAAGGCGCACAGUGAAUGCAGAUAAUUCUCCCAACGCUACCAGGAGAAAUUUGAGCAGAUCUUGAAAGUGCAAAAAGAGCAAUGGCAAAAUAUCCGCUACAGCUAUUCUCGGCAGUUCCUGACUUUCUUUGAAGAGUGGGACACGGGUGUGCGGAAAACCGCGAAACAGCAGGAAAGACUAACUAGGAUGCUUCACGACCACCGAAGGCUUUUCCUGCAAGCUAAAAAUGUUCAAAUGGAGACGCUGACUACAGUUAAGAACCUGUAUGAGGAAUUCUUAAAGGGUAUCAACGACUUGGAGCUGAGCCAGCAAAGCCUGCUUACUGAUGAGCAAAAGAAGCUCAAAAACGAAAUUGACAUCUUGAAGAACAAAAUUAUUGCUGCAACUGAGCAACAGCAAGAGUUGGCGAGUAUUCAACAAUCUCUGCAAGCCAUGCUGCUUCUAUGAAUCUGAAGAAGGAACUUCCACUCAAGUUCUGUCUGAAAGUCCAACGUUAGCUACACUAAUUCAAGUUCUCGCAGAUAUAAGCACAUCUUCUUUGUCACUAGUUCGUUUGUGAAAUGCAAGACCAUGUUUCUCUUGCCCCCCUGAACCCUAAACAGUAAUGUGAUCAGCAGCAGUGGAGGGGUUACGUGUAUAACACUCUGGCUCUUUGGUAGUGAUGGUGAAGUUUCCUCCCUCCUCCGGUCAAUGUACGUGUAGCAGUAGGGAUGACAGGGUUUUCGGUUUGGCCUCAGCGGAUCUGUGUCGGUCUCAGAAGGCAGAGCUCCCUCUAGAGGGUACAUCGUCCUUCCUUGAAGGAGUAAAGAAGACAAACUGUAACCUGUGCACUGUCUUGUAUUUCCUCCCUAUGGUAUGGAGCCAAUUCAUAAGCAAAUGCUGUUUCCAAAAAGACCCUACUCUAAGGCCUUACAAGCAUAGUUAAAAGCAACUCACCUCUGGGUGUUUGAAAAAAGCUAAGCUGGGACACAUAAUUAAGAUACCUGGCGAGAUAUCUGUGCUAAGCUGUGGAUUUCUGAUUUUGUCAUUUUCCACACAGACAUCAAGGUGUCAUUCAAGGAAGUUCUGGUCCACCAGUAAAUAACACCUGGCCUUAGUGUUGAUUGCCAGUAUUUGGUUAACAAACUUAACAAACAAAAUUGAUUUGUUCGUGAUGACGAUAAUUAUUACUUUAUGAUAAUUUAAUUAGAAUAAGUUGUUAUGUAAUGAUUUAAGUUUCUCAAUGCUUGUCUUCAGACAAAAGUAACCAGAGUGCUUUGCUUUUCCACUUUGAUAUUAGGUGAGAAUGCGGAAUUCAAAUGCACAUUCCUCUGAGAAAUGAUUAAUUCUGAUAGGUUUCCCUUUGUAAUUAGAAUACGUUGUUAUGUAAUGGUCUGAUGAUCUCACUUGUCUUCAGACAUAAAAUAACUAGAGUGCUUUGCUUUUCAGCUUUAAUCAGUGAGAAUGUGGAAUUUUAGAUGCACAUUCCUCUGAAGAAUGAUUAAUUCUGAUAGGUUUCCUCUUGUAAUGUAUACAUUUUACAUUUAAUGACACCUCAAAUUGUUCUGUGGAUACAUUUCAUGCAAUAAAUAUGCAAUUAUUUAAAGUGUAUUUGGGAAAAGUCAGUGAAAUGAAUUCUUUGUGCUGAU